rnacentral:rRNA from 1 species
AGAGUUUGAUCAUGGCUCAGGACGAACGCUGGCGGCGUGCUUAAUACAUGCAAGUCGAGCGAGGUUACUGUUUUGGAUCCCUUCGGGGUGAAGAAGCUUUAACCUAGCGGCGGACGGGUGAGUAACGCGUGGGUAACCUACCCCAAAGUCCGGGAUAACAGCGGGAAACCGCUGCUAAUACCGGAUGCCUUUACCUUGGGGCAUCUUGAGGUAAAGAAAGGCAACGCUUUGGGAUGGGCCCGCGUCCCAUUAGCUAGUUGGUGAGGUAACGGCUCACCAAGGCGACGAUGGGUAGCCGGCCUGAGAGGGUGGACGGCCACACUGGGACUGAGACACGGCCCAGACUCCUACGGGAGGCAGCAGUAGGGAAUAUUGCGCAAUGGACGGAAGUCUGACGCAGCGACGCCGCGUGAGCGAUGAAGGUCUUCGGAUCGUAAAGCUCUGUCCUUGGGGAAGAAGGCGAAAGCUUGACGGUACCCAAGAAGAAAGCCCCGGCUAACUACGUGCCAGCAGCCGCGGUAAU